rnacentral:rRNA from 1 species
CGGGAGAAUUGCUAGCUUGCUAAUAAUUCUCUAGUGGCGCACGGGUGAGUAACACGUGAGUAACCUGCCCCCAAGAGUGGGAUAGCCCCGGGAAACUGGGAUUAAUACCGCAUAAAAUCGCAAGAUUAAAGCAGCAAUGCGCUUGGGGAUGGGCUCGCGUCCUAUUAGUUAGUUGGUGAGGUAACGGCUCACCAAGGCGAUGACGGGUAGCCGGUCUGAGAGGAUGUCCGGCCACACUGGAACUGAGACACGGUCCAGACACCUACGGGUGGCAGCAGUCGAGAAUCAUUCACAAUGGGGGAAACCCUGAUGGUGCGACGCCGCGUGGGGGAAUGAAGGUCUUCGGAUUGUAAACCCCUGUCAUGUGGGAGCAAAUUAAAAAGAUAGUACCACAAGAGGAAGAGACGGCUAACUCUGUGCCAGCAGCCGCGGUAAUACAGAGGUCUCAAGCGUUGUUCGGAAUCACUGGGCGUAAAGCGUGCGUAGGCGGUUUCGUAAGUCGUGUGUGAAAGGCGGGGGCUCAACCCCCGGACUGCACAUGAUACUGCGAGACUAGAGUAAUGGAGGGGGAACCGGAAUUCUCGGUGUAGCAGUGAAAUGCGUAGAUAUCGAGAGGAACACUCGUGGCGAAGGCGGGUUCCUGGACAUUAACUGACGCUGAGGCACGAAGGCCAGGGGAGCGAAAGGGAUUAGAUACCCCUGUAGUCCUGGCAGUAAACGGUGCACGCUUGGUGUGCG